CCUACGGGAGGCUGCAGUGAGGAAUAUUGGUCAAUGGGCGUAAGCCUGAACCAGCCAAGUCGCGUGAGGGAUGAAGGUUCUAUGGAUCGUAAACCUCUUUUAUAAGGGAAUAAAGUGUGGGACGUGUGCUCUUUUCUAUGUACCUUAUGAAUAAGGCUCGGCUAACUCCGUGCCAGCAGCCGCGGUAAUACGGAGGAUGCGAGCGUUAUCCGGAUUUAUUGGGUUUAAAGGGUGCGCAGGCGGAAGUGCAAGUCAGCGGUAAAAUUUCGGGGCUAAACCCCGUACUGCCGUUGAAAAUGCAGUUCUUGAGUGCGCGAGAAGUAUGCGGAAUGCGUGGUGUAGCGGUGAAAUGCAUAGAUAUCACGCAGAACACCGAUUGCGAAGGCAGCUUACCAAGCUACUUCUGACGUUGAGGCACGAAAGCGUGGGGAGCAAACAGGAUUAGAUACCCCUGUAGUC
rnacentral:rRNA from 1 species